GGAUUGUGGCUCAGCGAUAGAGUGGUCGCCUAGCAUGUGUGAGGUACUGGGUUCAAUCCUCAGCACCA
rnacentral:tRNA from 1 species